CACCAUUUCCAGGGUUUUCAUUGGCUCAGUGGGAUGGUCACGUGACCAUCCUUUCAAGCCACGCAGUGGUGGGUAGGCCCCUAGCCCCUACCCCCGAAAUCUCAGCAGCCGCCGUCGCAUUUGAACCGGCAAUUGUUUUUUUUCCUCGUUUGUUGUCAUUUUCGUUUUUAAUGGCGGCCUGCUGUCAUUUAAAAUGAAUAAAUAUAUUACUUUUAGAAAAGGGCCGACCUCUCGUGAAGAGAACGAUGGAAUUUAUAGAUUCGGCUGGGAAACUUGUCGAUAAAGCUUUUUUGCUUCUUUAGAUAAACUGACACGAGAGUUUGGUACCUUCUCAAACAGGCAUAAUUUCAAUCUAAUUAAUUGUAUCUGAGAUUUUUUUACCAGAUUUGUUUACUAACAGGGAGCCCUCACUUUUUGCCGUAGCAAAACUGUUGGCAACUCGUCUUGUAAAUCUGAACAGGGUAGAAGUUCUUUGGCGUCCUGUAACAAAUCACCUGCUGGAAGUCAUCAUCCACCCACUUAACCGCUUGAGAGGAUGGGGAAUAGAUGUCAUUACUACGUUAGUUAGAUCAGUAAUUCAAUGUGAUUAUUCUACCCCUUUAAAAGAAAACCAGAGAUUGCAGACGUUGUUAAUAUCACCAUUAAAUGAGCUGUCUAGUACCAGUUUUGCAGACAUGCAG